rnacentral:rRNA from 1 species
CCCAGACAGCCAGGAUGUUGGCUUAGAAGCAGCCAUCAUUUAAAGAAAGCGUAAUAGCUCACUGGUCGAGUCGGCCUGCGCGGAAGAUGUAACGGGGCUAAACCAUGCACCGAAGCUGCGGCAGCGACACUGUGUGUUGUUGGGUAGGGGAGCGUUCUGUAAGCCUGUGAAGGUGGCCUGUGAGGGUUGCUGGAGGUAUCAGAAGUGCGAAUGCUGACAUAAGUAACGAUAAAGCGGGUGAAAAGCCCGCUCGCCGGAAGACCAAGGGUUCCUGUCCAACGUUAAUCGGGGCAGGGUGAGUCGACCCCUAAGGCGAGGCCGAAAGGCGUAGUCGAUGGGAAACGGGUUAAUAUUCCCGUACUUGGUGUUACUGCGAAGGGGGGACGGAGAAGGCUAUGUUGGCCGGGCGACGGUUGUCCCGGUUUAAGCGUGUAGGUGUGUGUUCCAGGUAAAUCCGGUUCACUUUAACACUGAGGCGUGACGACGAGGCACUACGGUGCUGAAGCAACAAAUGCCCUGCUUCCAGGAAAAGCCUCUAAGCAUCAGGUAACAUCAAAUCGUACCCCAAACCGACACAGGUGGUCAGGUAGAGAAUACCAAGGCGCUUGAGAGAACUCGGGUGAAGGAACUAGGCAAAAUGGUGCCGUAACUUCGGGAGAAGGCACGCUGACACGUAGGUGAAGUGAUUUACUCA